UGUAGGUUCGGUAUUGAUCCACUCUCCGCAUUCGAGCGACCUUUAAUGUUCCCCUUUCCUCUCGGUCACCCCUCUCACAUCCCACAUUCCACACUUCUGCGCUCUGCUCUCGGUCGGUCUUCUCUCUAGGCCAAAAGAGGAUGGCGACGGGUGGUAAGAGGGGAAGUUGGCACUCUGAGAGAACAGAAAGAGAGGGAGAGAGAAGGAAAAAGAGAGAGAGAGAGAGAGAGAGACAGAUAGACAGACAGACAGACAGACAGAUGGACUAAACCAAGAGAUAAAUCCUAGCACGACCUACAACAAUGCUUGGAGAGUUUGUGUGCAGCUGAUUUCACAACCGGCCGGCCGGCCAUUCCGCUAAACGGAAUUCCAGCGUUCUCCGGAAGCUACGUCACACGUAACUCGGACUCACACGACAAAAAAAGAGAAACCUGAAAACAUCCACGAUUUUUACCAUACGAAAGAUUAACGAAAAAUUAAAUUCGUGUAUUCGAUCAAAUUAAUUCUAUUGAAUAAUAACAACAACAACAACAACAACAACAACAACAACAACAACAACAACAACAACAACAACAAUAAUUAUUAUUAUUAUUAUUAUUAUUAAUUAUUAAUAAAAAAAGAGAGGAAAAAAGAAAAACGAAGGAAAGGAAUAAAGGGAGGGGGGUGAAAUAAAAUUAAAAAAAAAGGAAGGAAAAAAAAAUAGAUGAUCAGAAUUGAAACAGCGAAACGAUGGAACGCAAAACGUGCGGUGCGCAAUCUGGCGGGACGAGAUGAGACGAGAGUCAUGUUGAAAAGGGAGUAAAGGGAGGAAGGAAGGAAGGAAGGAAGGAAGGAAAGGUUAGGGUGGGGGGGUUGGCUCACUUCGGUCGCUGUCGCGAGGCGAGUUUAUUCCGCGACGCGGGCACUUGGUAGCCGAACGGUGAUCGCACGAGACGUAUCUGACGGUAUACUCUCGGAGAGAAGAAGAUUUAACGGAGAAAGAGAUAGAGAGAGAGAGAGAGAGAAAGAGAGAGAAAGGAAACGACCGAACCGAAUAAUCAUCAAGCAAAACUUGCGUUGCAGCAUCUAUACCACUGCACAACCUACGUACUACCUAUCGACGGAUUCUUUCGUCUUAUCUUCUCUUCUUGCCUCUACCAAUAAAG